UCCUACAAGCGGGUAGCUCAGUUGGUUAGAGCGUGGUGCUCAUAAUGCCAGGGUUGCAGGUACUAUCCCCAUAUGGGACAGCUGCAUAUUCCUGCAUUAGAAG